rnacentral:rRNA from 1 species
CCUACGGGGGGCAGCAGUGAGGAAUAUUGGUCAAUGGGCGCGAGCCUGAACCAGCCAAGUAGCGUGAAGGAUGACUGCCCUACGGGCUGUAAACUUCUUUUAUAAAGGAAUAAAGUGAGGCACGUGUGCCUUUUUGUAUGUACUUUAUGAAUAAGGAUCGGCUAACUCAGUGCCAGCAGCCGCGGUAAUACGGAGGAUCCGAGCGUUAUCAGGAUUUAUUGGGUUUAAAGGGAUCGUAGGUGGGUUGUUAAGUCAGUUGUGAAAGUUUGCGGCUCAACUGUAAAAUUGCAAUUGAUACUGGCAGCCUUGAGUACAUGUGAGGUAGGCGGAAUUCGUGGUGUAGCAGUGAAAUGCUUAGAUAUCACGAAGAACUCCGAUUGCGAAGGCAGCCUACUAAACUGCCACUGACAUUGAUGCGCGAAAGUGUGGGUAGCAAACAGGAUUAGAUACCCUUGUAGUC